UCGACCAACAUCAGGGGCGACCCCCAGGCUCCAUCUAAACCUUAAACAUUCACAAAACAACCAGAUUGAAGGUCAAUUCUUGUCCCAAAUCAAAAUCUGAACAUAGAUUCGUGAUCCUCAUCACAAGGGGGUUACAAGUUUGACGCGUGACAAGCUAGGUGGAGGCUUGGAAAGGAAGCGGGUCAAACGAAGCGAAUAAGAAGUAAAAGCAUGUUUCGGAUGCAAGGAGCGAAUAGUAAUUGGGAUAAUUGCGUCGCCAUAGAAUAUCGGUAAUAAAAGCAAGGUGUUGAAACGGGUCACUCGGUUGACUCGAGCCAGGUACGUAUAAAUACGAUUGUGGUUAAACAUACAUUUUUGGGGUCAAUUAAGUAGCAAAUGCCCUUCGUCGUAAAUGAGGGGCUAAA